GACGAACGCUGGCGGCGUGCCUAAUACAUGCAAGUCGAACGGGAGCGACCGGUGCUUGCACUGGUCAAUCUAGUGGCGAACGGGUGAGUAACACGUGGGUAACCUGCCCAUCAGAGGGGGAUAACAUCCGGAAACGGAUGCUAAAACCGCAUAGGUCUUCGAACCGCAUGGUUUGAAGAGGAAAAGAGGCGCAAGCUUCUGCUGAUGGAUGGACCCGCGGUGCAUUAGCUAGUUGGUGAGGUAACGACUCACCAAGGCCGUGAUGCAUAGCCGACCUGAGAGGGUGAUCGGCCACAUUGGGACUGAGACACGGCCCAAACUCCUACGGGAGGCAGCAGUAGGGAAUCUUCCGCAAAGGACGCAAGUCUGACGGAGCAACGCCGCGUGAGUGAAGAAGGUUUUCGGAUCGUAAAACUCUGUUGUUAGAGAAGAACAAGUGCUAGAGUAACUGUUAGCGCCUUGACGGUAUCUAACCAGAAAGCCACGGCUAACUACGUG
rnacentral:rRNA from 1 species